rnacentral:rRNA from 1 species
UACGGGGGGAGCAAGCGUUGUUCGGAUUUACUGGGUUUAAAGGGUGCGUAGGUGGGCAGGUAAGUCAGUGGUGAAAUCUCCGAGCUUAACUCGGAAACUGCCAUUGAUACUAUCUGUCUUGAAUAUCCUGGAGGUAAGCGGAAUAUGUCAUGUAGCGGUGAAAUGCUUAGAUAUGACAUAGAACACCAAUUGCGAAGGCAGCUUACUACGGGAUUAUUGACACUGAGGCACGAAAGCGUGGGGAUCAAACAGG